UACGUAGGGGGCUAGCGUUGUCCGGAAUCAUUGGGCGUAAAGAGCGUGUAGGCGGCCCGGUAAGUCCGCUGUGAAAGUCGGGGGCUCAACCCUCGAAUGCCGGUGGAUACUGUCGGGCUAGAGUGCGGAAGAGGCGAGUGGAAUUCCUGGUGUAGCGGUGAAAUGCGCAGAUAUCAGGAGGAACACCGAUUGCGAAGGCAGCUCGCUGGGACGUGACUGACGCUGAGACGCGAAAGCGUGGGGAGCAAACAGG
rnacentral:rRNA from 1 species